rnacentral:rRNA from 1 species
AUACGGAGGGUGCAAGCGUUAUUCGGAAUCACUGGGCGUAAAGGACGCGUAGGCGGGUUGGCAAGUCAGAUGUGAAAUCCUACAGCUUAACUGUAGAACUGCAUUUGAAACUGCUAACCUAGAGUAUGGGAGGGGGAGAUGGAAUUAGUGGUGUAGGGGUAAAAUCCGUAGAUAUCACUAGGAAUACCGAAAGCGAAGGCGAUUUCCUGGAACAUAACUGACGCUAAGGCGUGAAAGCGUGGGGAGCAAACAGGAUUAGAUACCCUAGUAGUAC